GGGGAAUAUUGGACAAUGGGGGCAACCCUGAUCCAGCCAUGCCGCGUGAGUGAUGAAGGCCUUCGGGUUGUAAAGCUCUUUUGGCGGGGACGAUGAUGACGGUACCCGCAGAAUAAGCCCCGGCUAACUUCGUGCCAGCAGCCGCGGUAAGACGAAGGGGGCUAGCGUUGCUCGGAAUUACUGGGCGUAAAGGGCGCGUAGGCGGUUUUUCAAGUCGGGCGUGAAAGCCCCGGGCUCAACCCGGGAUGUGCGUUCGAUACUGAAUGACUAGAGUGCAGGAGAGGGUGGUGGAAUUCCUAGUGUAGAGGUGAAAUUCGCAGAUAUUAGGAAGAACACCAGUGGCGAAGGCGGCCACCUGGACUGUAACUGACGCUGAGGCGCGAAAGCGUGGGGAGCAAAC
rnacentral:rRNA from 1 species